AUCUAUUUUCCUGCAAUUCGACAUUUGUUUUUAUUACACCCAAAAAGACUUGUUCAAGAUUCAGAAGCAUUUCCAUAUGGAUUCUUCUUCUACAUUGCCGCCAUCGACCUCCGCCACGCCGCCGCUGACCUCGCUGGAGGAGGUUGUGUACAAGACCAAAGUGAUUGAAUUCUUCGACCGAACAGCUCCCAUCAUUCUCCAAAACAAUAAUGGCCCCUGCCCUCUCCUCUCUAUAUGUAAUGUUCUCUCCCUAAAGAACAGUUUGAGUUUGAGUCUGGAUACACCAGAGGUUUCGCAGGAUAAAUUGCUUUCUCUGGUCGCUGACCGGUUGAUUAAUUCGAACAGUAAAAUUGAUAACAAAGAUGCUGGCUAUGUUAAGAAUCAGCAGCAGAAUAUUACUGAUGCUAUUGAUUUACUUCCUAGGCUCACAACUGGCAUUGAUGUGAAUAUAAAAUUCAGAAGAAUUGAUGACUUUGAGUUCACUCCAGAAUGUGCAAUAUUUGAUUUACUGGAUAUCCCACUUUACCAUGGAUGGAUUGUUGAUCCACAGGAUAUUGAAACUGCUGAUGCUAUUGGCUCAAAAUCAUAUAACUCUCUCAUGAGUGAGCUUGUUUCUUUGGAAACACAAGCUAUGGAGUGUGAAGAGAAUGAGAAUCUAGAAGAAGACAGUGUAGAUUUUGUGGCUGCAACAACUGCUGUUCUUGGAAUUCCAUCUCCUAGUCUUUCAAGAAGCCAAUCCUUCACUGAUUCACCCCGAAGUAUGAAAAAGGGAGAUAUGGAAGAAGAAGGAGAAGUCUUGAGAGUCUUGAAGUUAUCAGAGACUGAAAUGCUUAGUUCAGCAAUGGCCGGUGUAGCUGUAGAUACUGAUAGUGAACAUAUGGGGAAGUCUGAAGUGUUGAUAUGUUCAGAACCAGUGGGAAAUCAUGUUUCUGGUGAAACUGUAAAGGAUGGGGCAUUAAUUUCUAAUGACAGUGACAAUUUUGUACAUGAUGAUGAAUUUAAAAGAUCUUGUGGAAGUGCAGUUGAUGAACCCGGGAAUAGUGAACAUGUUGAUGAAACUCUCUCUUUAGAAGAAGUUCCUUCAUCUUCUAGUCACUGUCAUGAUGAACCCAGGAAUAGUGAACAUGUUGAAAAUAAAUUCACUUCCACUUCAGACCAGGAUGAACAAAGUAAUUGCACAAAUGAUUGUACAGCUGGAGAAUUACCAAGCUUCUUGACUGCUUCUGCAGAUUUAGGAUCAUCAAGUGGCCCAGUACAUAACACCUUUAGUCCUGUCCUCAAUUCAGGUAUUGAUGUUAGUGAACCGAUGUACGAAGGGGAAGAGUGUAUAAUGGAAUCAGGAACUGCAGUCUGUCAAAAUCAAGAGCCCAUUUAUGAGGGUGAGAUGGUUCUUGCCAAACAAGGGGAUAGUGGUUGUGUUAAUGAGGGUGACUCUAUGGAGAGAAUAUCUAUCACACAAGGAGAACUAAUCAGGAACUUUAUGAAGAACAGUGCUAGUCAGUUGACUAUUUAUGGCCUAUUUUGCUUACUAGAUAAAGUGAAGGAACGUGAGCUGUGUGUUUUUUUCAGAAAUAAUCACUUCAACACUAUGUUUAAGUAUGAAGGUGACUUGUAUAUAUUGGCAACAGACCAAGGUUACAUAAAUCAGCCAGAUUUAGUAUGGGAAAAACUUAAUGAGGUGAAUGGUGAUACUGUGUACGUGAUGGGAAACUUUAAGGAUUUCAAGAUGGAUGAUCCUUCCAACGUGACCUGGGAUGAGCAGAAUGCCAUGUCCUGUACGGCUGACUAUAUAGCUAGCAUUGAUUGUGUAGCUCAAUCAAAUUCCAAUAUCAAAUAUAUAUUGCUCCAGGCUGCCGGUUUGUGUGGUAUUCUUAAGAGCCUCAUACUCAUUGAAGGCAGACACAUUGCCAAAACGCACCAAUAUCUCCUGCGUGAAUUGUUGCCAGGUAAGCUGGGGAUGUAGACGCAACAACAAUAGCAUCCAUGCAACCGCUGGCCCCGACAUGGCUCCCAGGGCAUACUUCACCCUGUUUGUCACUGGUAUUUCGUGCACCAGAAAAAACUGCUCAGCUUGGAUGAGCCACGCCUCGGCAUUGAAGCGAUCAAAAGUGGGUAAAUCUAUCUUCUUGAAGCGAUCAUAAGUGGGUAAAUCUAUCUUCUUGAAUAGCUGUGGCGGUGAAGUUUUAUGUUCCCGCAAGUUCUCUCCCCCGGAAUCAUUGCCGUUGAAAGAAGCUUCACUGAUAGACAGCUUUGCCAAUAUGGCACGAACCUUGACGUCGAGCACUGCCUGGUUUGCUCGAAUCUCUGCGAUACGGCCCUGCAAAUAUUCAACAUCAUUCUCCAUCUCUUCCACUUGGUUCUUCAGUGCUGCGCCCAUCUCACAAAUUGAAAGAGUUAAGGGGGUUUGUGUGAAGAAGAAACGAUGAAACUCAAACAAACUUGAAGAAGCUCUACAACUUCAAGAGUGCUGUUUCAAAAUACUUAUAAUCUGAAAACCUAGCAACGAAACUACUAAUGUUCUGAUUUGCAAUUGGCUAUAGCUCUUCAACAACAGGAAUUUGAGCAACAACAACCUCAGCGAUCAGUACACCCAACUGUUGCUAGUGAUUCAGGGCUGGCCACGGAUCCUCAGGUUUCACACAACAGCGGGAAA